ACACAGUUUUCCUUUCCUAAACAGAUUUUACUUGAUGUCCAUCUAUAUCUGCAGCAACUUCUAUAAUCAAUAAGAAUAAGAACCUGGGCCAAAGAGGUCUCACAUCCCUGCUCCUGGUCUCACAAAUGCCUGCCUACCUCAAGUCAAAUUUCUCUCUCCCAAACACAGAAAAUUCUUUGGGGGCUUGACUUUCUUGCUCUGCACUCUG
rnacentral:lncRNA from 1 species